rnacentral:rRNA from 1 species
CCUACGGGAGGCUGCAGUGGGGAAUAUUGGGCAAUGGGCGCAAGCCUGACCCAGCAACGCCGCGUGAAGGAAGAAGGCUUUCGGGUUGUAAACUUCUUUUGUCAGGGAAGAGUAGAAGACGGUACCUGACGAAUAAGCCACGGCUAACUACGUGACAGCAGCAGCGGUAAUACGUAGGUGGCAAGCGUUGUCCGGAUUUACUGGGUGUAAAGGGCGUGUAGCCGGGUUGACAAGUCAGAUGUGAAAUCCUGCGGCUUAACCGCAGAACUGCAUUUGAAACUGUUGAUCUUGAGUACUGGAGAGGCAGACGGAAGUCCUAGUGUAGCGGUGAAAUGCGUAGAUAUUAGGAGGAACACCAGUGGCGAAGGCGGUCUGCUGGACCGCAACUGACGGUGAGGCGCGAAAGCGUGGGGAGCAAACAGGAUUAGAUACCCGAGUAGUC